ensembl:snoRNA SNORD82 Small nucleolar RNA SNORD82
AGCACAGAUGAUGAUUAUUGGGACUUAAUACUGAUCUUGUGAUGUCUCUACUAUGAGCUGAUGUGU